ACGAGAACUGACUAUGCUGGCAUCCUGAUCUUAGACUUCCAGACUCCAGAACUGCGGGGAAAAGAAAUUUCUGUUGUUUAAACUACCUGGUCUAUGGUAUUUUGUUAGGGCAACCGAAGCAGACCGAGACAGCCUGAAUGACUGAACAUACAUCUGGGAAGCUAUGUGAGAGGUGGUAACAGACCAGAUUAGAAGAGGCAUGAAGUAUGGUCAAUGAGAACCUGCACAAAGGGGCAGGAUGAACCACAAAAAAAUAAAAGGGACUUGCUUACGAUU
rnacentral:lncRNA from 1 species